rnacentral:rRNA from 1 species
GAUGAACGCUGGCGGUAUGCUUAACACAUGCAAGUCGAACGGACUCUUCGGAGUUAGUGGCGGACGGGUGAGUAACGCGUGAGAAUCUGGCUUUGGGGUCGGGACAACCACUGGAAACGGUGGCUAAUACCGGAUGGGCCGAGAGGUAAAAGAGAAAUUGCCUGAAGAUGAGCUCGCGUCUGAUUAGCUAGUUGGUGAGGUAAAGACUCACCAAGGCAGCGAUCAGUAGCUGGUCUGAGAGGAUGACCAGCCACACUGCGUCUGAGACACGGCCCAGACUCCUCCGGGAGGCAGCAGGGGGGAAUGAUCCGCAAUGGGCGAAAGCCUGACGGAGCAAUACCGCGUGAGGGAAGAAGGCUCUUGGGUUGUACACCUCUUUUCUUAGCGAAGCACAAAAUGACGGUACCUAAGGAAUCAGCAUCGGCUAACUCCGUG